rnacentral:snRNA from 1 species
GUGCUGGCUUCAGUAGCAGCAUAGGAAUGAAAAUAGCAGCAGUUUGGAUAAGAUCAGCCUGGCCCUGUGCAAGGAGGGUAUGCAAAUUCAUGAAGGGUUCCAUAUUUUU